GAUACGCUGAUAGCCAAUGGGAAGGGUAGCGGUCGUACGCUAAUUACCAUGUUUCUCUUUUAUUAGUGUAGAUAUCUUCCCUCUGAAUUUACUUUCCUUUGUUGUUCUAUUUUUUCUUUUACUUUUUUUUCUUCAGGAGGGGGUUGUUUUUUAGAAGUACAUCCUUUAUUGGUUCUUUCGGUGAGAAUGUCAGCUUAUUAGUCUUUGUCCUAAAAUGUCCUAUUUUGCCUUGAUUCUCAUAAGAUAACUCAGCUGGCUAUAAAACACAGGUUGACAUUUAUUUUCUUUCAGCAAUUGUGUAGUCUUCUAGCACAUACUUUGAUGAAAAGAAGACUGUCGUUGGCCUGUCAAUUCUUUCUUUCUUUCAGGAACAAAGACUACUACUCAUCUCCUGGCUUCAAGCAGUAAGACGGUGCCAGGUCCCUCAUCAUGAGCAGAGCACUUUUAGACCCAAAUACUUACAACAGCUGAACUCCUGGGUGGCCACAACCUUUCAGACCCAGAGCCCAGAAGGUCCUCAGUUUCAGACCUACUCACCACAUACAUUUUUAUUCUAUAUUCUUAAGCCCAACUAUAUCUUUUUUAUAUAUUUAUCUUUUUAUUAUGCAUAUUUUAUCUACAUUGCUGUAGAGACAUGCAGAUUGGAUGUUUCAAAGCAUGAAUUUACAGUCAUUUUGUCUGGAGGCUCUCUUAAAUUCAGAUUGCCUUUGAUGGGAAAUUCUCUAGUACAGAUGCAAAAAAUGACGUCUCCAUGGCUGCUGGUUGGAGACUUUUGACCGCCCCGCAGUCUGAAUUUUAGUCUAACAAGGGAGAGAGGAGAAACUAGAAAGAAUCUAUAUUGGUGAUGGAUAAUGGCAGCUACUUCUAGUUUCCAAAAGCAGCUUCUAGUGUUAGAAUCUUCUGUCUGCUCUUGGUGUUACCAGUGCCUACCAAUGGAGACAUGAGUAUCUUCCAAAGGACUCCACAGCAGAACUUGGGGCAUGGAUACCAUUUGGCUCUCCCAUAAAGUCUGUAAUGUAAAUAAAGCUGCUUGAUGCUUAAA